rnacentral:lncRNA from 1 species
AUGUUCUUCGCCCGCAUCCAGCGGCCCGUCCUGCGUCAGAGCGCGGGGCGCGGGGGUCUGGGGGUCGCCAGGUGGGUUCCGACAGAAGGGAGGGGAAGGGAGGCUGAGGCGGCUGGAAGGCCAGGCCGAGGCGAGGCGCUUCGGCCUGGAGACGCUGGAGAUGGACGCGAGCACCACGGAAGCAGGCGCCUGAAGGGUGAGCGCGGCGGACCCAGAAUCGGAGGAGGCGGCGCGGCUGUGGACCGAAGAGGCUCAGAAGUGACAGAUACAUGCUCUCAUUGUUUGGAGGAGAGGGAAGGUCACCGACGAGGCGAACCCUCACGCCGCCCGGCCUCCUUCCCCUGGAACGUUCUCGGCGCGCCCCUUUAUCAGCUACGUUCCUUCGGAGCGGGUUUUUUUCUCCAGACGGACCGGGUGUCUUUCGGGGAGAGAGAGAGAGGAGGUGGAGGAGGGGCAGGUCUGAGCGGAGGCGCCUCUCACCGCGGCGCUCCCCCGGGGCCUCGGGGCCCCUCCUCGCACCAGCGCUCUGCAACGUCCUGCCGGCGGUCACAAGCGCUCUUUAAAAAAUACUUUCCCUCCGGGACGCCCCCGGCUUCUUCCGGCCCCCACCCGCGGUCCCGGGCCGAGGAGCACCCCGCUUCGCCCGCCGGUCUAGAGGAAACGGCAAGCUUGGCGGAUUCAAAACCGAGCCGAGGCCAAGUCGACCCUAAUCCUCCGCCGCCCUCAGGUGACCCCUGACAGCAGCCCCUGUGCAGCCUUCAAACCGAAAACCCCCUCAGAGACACCACACCACACACACACACUCACACACGCACACACAACAAAAACCCCAAGUCUUCCCUUCGGUUGCUACCCGCAAUGACGUUUCCCCCCCUCGGGUCCCGCCCCUCCGGGGGGGCUUGGAAUUUUGGGAUAGGCCGAGAGGCUUGGCGACAGGGCCCCGAUUGGGCGCCGCGGCGUGAGUGACAGCGGGGCAGGCCGCUCGCCCGCCCUCUCCCCGCCGGCCUUCCCCAGCCCUCCCUGGGUGCGAGUGUGUGUGCGGUGUUAUGCCGGACAGGAGGGAGGCGACCG